GCGGCAUGCUUUACACAUGCAAGUCGAACGGCAGCACGGGGGCAACCCUGGNUGGCGAGUGGCGAACGGGUGAGGAAUACAUCGGAACGUGUCUUCAAGUGGGGGAUAACGCAUCGAAAGGUGUGCUAAUACCGCAUAAUCUCUGAGGAGAAAAGCAGGGUGAUCGUAAGACCUUGCGCUUUUGGAGCGGCCGAUGUCUGAUUAGCUUGUUGGUAAGGUAAAAGCUUACCAAGGCUUCGAUCAGUAGCUGGUCUGAGAGGACGGCCAGCCACACUGGGACUGAGACACGGCCCAGACUCCUACGGGAGGCAGCAGUGGGGAAUUUUGGACAAUGGGGGCAACCCUGAUCCAGCCAUGCCGCGUGAGUGAAGAAGGCCUUCGGGUUGUAAAGCUCUUUCAGCCGGAACGAAACGGUUACGGUUAAUACCCGUGACUACUGACGGUACCGGAAGAAGAAGCACCGGCUACCUACGUGCCAGCAGCCGCGGUAAUACGUAGGGUGCAAGCGUUAAUCGGAAUUACUGGGCGUAAAGCGUGCGCAGGUGGUUUUGUAAGUCAGAUGUGAAAUCCCCGGGCUUAACCUGGGAACUGCGUUUGAAACUACAAGGCUAGAGUGUGGCAGAGGGGGGUGGAAUUCCGCGUGUAGCAGUGAAAUGCGUAGAUAUGUGGAGGAACACCGAUGGCGAAGGCAGCCCCUGGGUCACACUGACGCUCAGGCAC
rnacentral:rRNA from 1 species